UCUGCCUACGGGGCGCAGCAGUGGGGAAUAUUGCACAAUGGGGGAAACCCUGAUGCAGCAACGCCGCGUGAGUGAAGAAGUCAUUCGUGAUGUAAAGCUCUAUCAGCAGGGAAGAAAAUGACGGUACCUGACCAAGAAGCCCCGGCUAACUACGUGCCAGCAGCCGCGGUAAUACGUAGGGGGCAAGCGUUAUCCGGACUUACUGGGUGUAAAGGGAGCGUAGACGGCUGUGCAAGUCUGGAGUGAAAGGCGGGGGCCCAACCCCCGGACUGCUCUGGAAUCUGUAUGGCUGGAGUGCAGGAGAG
rnacentral:rRNA from 1 species